AGUGUCUCUCCAAGGACCAGGAGAAACACUUACUUUUCAAAUUCCUUAUUCUAACUCUGUGCGGCGUAGACCCUUACUCCUCACAGGGAUUCUUGAGGCGCACGUCUGGACUUGUUAUUUCUCUGAAUCUUAGAGUCUUAGAUCCGAAAACGGCCAGUUCUGAGGGUGAGGACCGCAACUGUCUGUGUUUCUUCUGCUGAAUACCCAGUGCCCAGCUUAGGGCCCAGUAGAGAGAGAAAAUUGGUCCCUGGAUUGAUGCCUUUGAUGGAAUCAAAUUGAAGAAGGUAGAGAAGGCCGUGUGAAGGUAAAGCAGAGAUUUGUAGAUGUUGACCUUGAAAACUGGAGAGAUGUGGCCACAAGCCAAGGUAUGCGAAUAGUGGAAGCUGAAAGAAUCAAGGAACCCAAUUUUCCCCUAGAGUCUUCAGAGGGAGCUGGGCCCCGAGGAUGCCUUGAUUUUGGCAGAUGAUACUCGUUGGACGUCUGGCGUCCAGAAUUGUAAGAGUAUACGUUUCCGUUGUUUUAAGCCACGCAGUUUGUGGUAAUUUGUUACAGCAGCCACAGGAAACUAACACCCAGGCAGUGCACAAUGAAUUCCAUAUGAACAAUUCCAGUAUAGGAAAUUGUUAGAAAGCUUAUUUUCAUUGGAAUAUUGGAUUAAAGCGCUUACCAGCAUUGAAUUUCUUGGAGAUGAAUGGCAAAACAAACUCUAGCAUUAGCUUUCUUU
rnacentral:lncRNA from 1 species